rnacentral:rRNA from 1 species
GAUGAACGCUGGCGGCGUGCCUAAUACAUGCAAGUCGAGCGAACAGACGCGGACCUUGCUCCUCUGACGAUAGCCGCGGACGGGUGAGUAACACGUGGAUAACCUACCUAUAAGACUGAGAUAACUUCGGGAAACCGGAUCUAAUACCGGAUAAUAUAUUGACCCGCAUGGUUCAAUAGUGAAAGACGGUUUUGCUGGCACUUAUAGCUGGAUCCGCGCCGCAUUGGCUAGUUGGUAAGGUAACGGCUUACCAAGGCAACGAUGCGUAGCCGACCGGACAGAGGGAUCGGCGACACUGGAACGGGGACGGGGUCCAUGGGCCUGAGAGACGCAGCAGUAGGGUAUGGGCCGCAGCAGGCGAAAGCUUGGCGGAGCAAGGCCGCGUGAGAUACGAAGAUGUUCGGAGCGGAAUACUCUGUUAUUAGGGAAAAACAAAUGUGUAAGGAAAUAUGCACGUAUUGACGGUACCUGAUCAGAAAGCACCGGCUAACUACGUG